UACGAAGGGGGCUAGCGUUGUUCGGAAUUACUGGGCGUAAAGCGUGCGCAGGCGGCUUCUCAAGUCAGGGGUGAAAGCCCAGAGCUCAACUCUGGAAUUGCCUUUGAGACUGAGUGGCUUGAGUACGGGAGAGGUGAGUGGAAUUCCCAGUGUAGAGGUGAAAUUCGUAGAUAUCGAGAGGAACACCGGUGGCGAAGGCGGUCGUGCUGGGGUGAGGCUGACGCUGAUGCGCGACAGGCG
rnacentral:rRNA from 1 species